rnacentral:tRNA from 2 species
GGCCGGUUAGCUCAGUUGGUUAGAGCUUGGUGCUGAUAACGCCAAGGUCGCGGGUUCGAUCCCCGUACGGGCCA